AAUUAACAAUCAUUUUAAAUUUAAAGAUAGGCUCUCGUGGAAUAACCGUUUAUGUGCACCACUCAGAAUGGACGGACAAGCGCACAACCUUUCUGUUGCUGAUGAAAAUUGCAGAAAUGUGGGAAAGAAACGUAAAACAAAACUAAAAGAAUGGAAAGACAGGCAAAGGAAGAACUUACGGGAUGCGGGAAAACCCUAUACAAAUCGUAAGGGUCAAGAAAAAACUGGGAAAAGCUGUCCAAAAGAGCAUGAGGUGAAACGGAGACGUAAACCUGAGGAUACAAAGGAGAACAAACGACGGAAACAAACCUUCAAAUACCAUGUACAGCAAGCAGGCCAGAGAUUGAAUGUGUGCAAGGUUACUUUCAUGUCUGUGUUAACCAACAGCCGUCUUCAGGCAAGUGAAAAUAUGAAUUAAUGUCUAUAUGAAUAUCAAUUACAAACAUAUUGUAUUCUCUGUACUAGUUUUUAAUAACCUGCUAAUUGAAAUGUAAUUGUUUUGGUCAGGUUAUUCAGGAAAAGUUAGCUGAGUCAGGUGAGGUUGCAGGGUCUCCAGAUCAGGUUACUGAGGCUAGGUCUCCUUUAGAAGAUGGAAGAGGGAAGCAUAGCAAUAGGUAAUGCGCUAUGGAUUCCAGCCUGGAUUAUUUCACUAUAGCAGUGCUCUAAACAAUCUUCUAAACAUUAACAUAGAGUAUCGAAUGGAUGAAUAGCGAAUUCUGAAACAAAAAUAUAAAAAUGUUUAUUACUUUUAAACAAAAUUAUGGUAACUAAGCUGUCCAACUACCACCUGAGCAUUGAGGACUGAGUGCCGAUUACCUUCCCCCUCCCACCGGACAGCACUGGCCUAAUUCUCGCCGCCCUACAGGAACGCCCGGCCACAAACAGCAAUGGCGUGCCCGGGAUUUGUACCCCGGUUAUAGCGACACAGUUGGACUCUAAGGCAGGUCCCUAGACCAUUGAGAGAAUACAAGUUUAACAACACCUUGUUGUCUCCUUAAGAUGUCAGCAGCAACAUCUGAAGAGGAGAAGAGGAAGAUUGCAGUUGAAAGUGAGUUGCACCAUCGAAAAGCCCUACACACAGCUUCAAAGUGACACUGAGUGGGCUAAAGCCAAUGCUGACUGCCAUGUCAUUUCUGUGGAUCUACAGGGGUGAUGUACACCCCUAAUCCGACCCACUCCAAUGUCUACUACCAGCGGCUGCUGUCAAAUUUUUACUUUUGCAUCCAGGAACUUGGAAAAGAAGAUCCUGCAUACAUGUGUGUUUGGCAUGAGGGGAUUGCACACCGAGGGUCCAUUGAGGUGGCAAGCUGCAUAAUGAAGUGGGUGAAGACAAAAUUCACGCCACUCACCAAACCAGAGGUGUGCAAGUUGAUCAUAUUCAGUGACAGAUGCUGUGUGCAGAAUAACAACUGGCGGAUGCUCAAUCUGAUGUCGAUGCUCGUCUCUAUGGGUUACUUUACCCAAGUUGAGCAGAAGUUCAUGGUCUCUGGUCAUUCUUUUCUUCCUUGUGAUCGAUCUUUUGCCACCAUCGAGAAGAGGCGCAAGGUGUCAGUCCUUCAUACACCUGAUGAUGUUUCAAAGAUGAUACUUGAAGCACAACCAGCAAAACCAUUCAAGGUGAUGAGGAUGCAAUGUGAAGACUUCAGGCACCUCCCAGAUUCUGUCCUCAAGCGACCAGCUGGACUACAGAUCACCUCAGUGAGGUGGUUAAAAGUCACAGUUGAGGAUCCUUGGAAUCUGUACACCAGACAGAGCCACAGUCUAUUUGAGGGAUGGAAAUCGUGGCUGAUCUCCAAACCAAAACAAGGAGCUACACCUCAACCUCCCUAUUUUGCAAACCACUACCCUAGAGCAUGAGAGUCCUCUGCCCAUAAAAAAAGUACCAAGAUCUGAUGACCAUGCUCAACUACUUGCCAGCUGCUGCACGCUCUUUUUAUGAAUCACUGCAGAGUGAAUCAUUUGUUGUUAAACCAAGCUACAUAAUUAACCGUUUUUUCUGUGAGUUUAUGAUCCCCUGAACCUGUAUACUGUAGUAUGUUGAAUCUGUAUACAUUUUAGAAGACAUGUCACCCCUAUUGUAGGAAAUGAAAUGUAUCGUAGGUGUUUUCUAUGUGAAUCAAUUUGUGUAUGAUUUGAACCAGCACAAUAUAUUGAAUUAAUUUAAUUUUAAGAUGUUGUUCCUAGUGUAGAAAAUGUUAUGUACAAUGUGUUCUGUUGAUAAUUAUUUUGUGUGUGAUCAUUUGAACCUUUUUUAAUCUGAAU